rnacentral:rRNA from 1 species
UACGAAGGGGGCUAGCGUUGCUCGGAAUCACUGGGCGUAAAGCGCACGUAGGCGGAUCUUUAAGUCAGGGGUGAAAUCCUGGAGCUCAACUCCAGAACUGCCUUUGAUACUGGGGAUCUCGAGUCCGGAAGAGGUGAGUGGAACUCCGAGUGUAGAGGUGAAAUUCGUAGAUAUUCGGAAGAACACCAGUGGCGAAGGCGGCUCUCUGGUACGUGACUGACGCUGAGACGCGAAAGCGUGGGGAGCAAACAGG